CCUACGGGGGGCAGCAGUGGGGAAUCUUGCGCAAUGGGCGAAAGCCUGACGCAGCGACGCCGCGUGUGUGAUGAAGGCCUUCGGUUGUAAAGCACUGUGGAGAGAGUGGCGGUAUCUCCUUAGCAAGCACCGGCUAACUCUGUGCCAGCAGCCGCGGUAAGACAGAGGGUGCAAACGUUGUUCGGAAUUACGGGCGUAAAGCGUGUGUAGGCGGCUAGGUAAGUCGGAUGUGAAAGCCCUGGGCUCAACCCAGGAAGUGCACUCGAUACUGCUUAGCUAGAGUACCGGAGAGGUUGGUGGAAUUCUCGGUGUAGAGGUGAAAUUCGUAGAUAUCGAGAGGAACACCGGUGGCGAAGCGGCCAACUGGACGAGACUGACGCUGAGACACGAAAGCGUGGGGAGCAAACAGGAUUAGAUACCCUUGUAGUC
rnacentral:rRNA from 1 species